AACGAACGCUGGCGGCAUGCUUAACACAUGCAAGUCGAACGAGACCUUCGGGUCUAGUGGCGCACGGGUGCGUAACGCGUGGGAAUCUGCCCUUUGCUACGGAAUAACUCAGAGAAAUUUGUGCUAAUACCGUAUAAUGUCGAAAGACCAAAGAUUUAUCGGCAAAGGAUGAGCCCGCGUAGGAUUAGCUAGUUGGUGAGGUAAAGGCUCACCAAGGCGACGAUCCUUAGCUGGCCUGAGAGGAUGAUCGGCCACACUGGGACUGAGACACGGCCCAGACUCCCACGGGAGGCAGCAGUGGGGAAUAUUGGACAAUGGGCGAAAGCCUGAUCCAGCAAUGCCGCGUUAGUAAUGAAGGCCUUAGGGUUGUAAAGCUCUUUUACCAGGGAUGAUAAUGACAGUACCUGGAGAAUAAGCUCCGGCUAACUCCGUGCCAGCCGCCGCAGUAAGAC
rnacentral:rRNA from 1 species